GUACGCUGGCGGCACGCCUUAUACAUGCAAGUCGAACGAAGUAGCAAUACUUAGUGGCAGACGGGUGAGUAACAUGUGGGUAUCUUCCCUUUGGUGAGGAAUAACACGAGGAAACUUGUGCUAAUACCUCAUAAGUCUUUACGGAGAAAGCUUUAUGCGCCAAUGGAUGAGCCCGCACUUGAUUAGUUUGUUGAUGGGGUAAUGGCCUACCAAGACUGUGAUCAAUAGCUGAUUUGAGAGGAUGAUCAGCCACAUUGGGACUGAGACACGGCCCAAACUCCUACGGGAGGCAGCAGUAAGGAAUCUUGCACAAUGGAGGAAACUCUGAUGCAGCGAUGCCGCGUGAGUGAAGAAGGCCCUUGGGUUGUAAAGCUCUUUCGUCGGGGAAGAAAAUGACUGUACCCGAAUAAGAAGGUCCGGCUAA
rnacentral:rRNA from 1 species